AUACUUACCUGGCAUAGGACAAACGGUUAUCACCCACGGCCGUUCUCCCAGGUCGAGGUUCACUCAUUGCACUUCGGGUGGGCUGAAGCCUGAUACUACAAAAAGAGUAACCAGUCAACCGCUUGGC
rnacentral:snRNA from 1 species